AGCGGCAGGCUUAACACAUGCAAGUCGAGGGGCAGCACGGGUAGCAAUACCUGGUGGCGACCGGCGCAAGGGUGCGUAACGCGUGAGCAACAUGCCCUAUACAGGGGGAUAAUCCAGGGAAACUUGGUCUAAUAUCCCAUAGUAUUUAGAGGAGGCAUCUUCUAUAAAUUAAAGCUUCGGUGGUAUAGGAUUGGCUCACGUGACAUUAGCUAGAUGGUGAGGUAACGGCUCACCAUGGCAAUGAUGUCUAGGGGUUCUGAGAGGAAGGCCCCCACACUGGGACUGAGACACGGCCCAGACUCCUACGGGAGGCAGCAGUGAGGAAUAUUGGACAAUGGAUGGAAAUCUGAUCCAGCCAUGCCGCGUGCAGGAAGACAGCCCUAUGGGUUGUAAACUGCUUUUAUAUGGGAGCAAUAAGGUCUACGUGUAGACUGAUGAGAGUACCAUAUGAAUAAGCAUCGGCUAACUCCGUG
rnacentral:rRNA from 1 species